rnacentral:rRNA from 1 species
CCUACGGGAGGCAGCAGUGAGGAAUAUUGGUCAAUGGCCGUAAGGCUGAACCAGCCAAGUAGCGUGAGGGAAGACUGCCCUAUGGGUUGUAAACCUCUUUUAUGCGGGGAUAAAGGUGUCCACGUGUGGAUUUUUGCAGGUACCGCAUGAAUAAGGACCGGCUAAUUCCGUGCCAGCAGCCGCGGUAAUCCGGAAGGUCCGGGCGUUAUCCGGAUUUAUUGGGUUUAAAGGGGGCGUCGGCCGGUCUUUAAGCGUGCCGUGAAAUUUUGUGGCUCAACCAUGAGAGUGCGGCGCGAACUGGAGACGUUGAGUGCGCGGAAGGCAGGCGGAAUUCGUGGUGUAGCGGUGAAAUGCUUAGAUAUCACGAAGAACCCCGAUUGCGAAGGCAGCCUGCCGCAGCGUGACUGACGCUGAAGCUCGAAAGCGCGGGUAUCGAACAGGAUUAGAUACCCCUGUAGUC